UACGGAGGGUGCAAGCGUUAUCCGGAAUUAUUGGGCGUAAAGAGCUUGUAGGCGGUUUGUCGCGUCUGCUGUGAAAUUUCGGGGCUCAACCCCGAACUUGCAGUGGGUACGGGCAGACUAGAGUGUGGCAGGGGAGACUGGAAUUCCUGGUGUAGCGGUGAAAUGCGCAGAUAUCAGGAGGAACACCGAUGGCGAAGGCAGGUCUCUGGGCCAUAACUGACGCUGAGAAGCGAAAGCAUGGGGAGCGAACAGG
rnacentral:rRNA from 1 species